AAGCAAAAUGGGAUGCAAAUAAAUAUAAUAAUAAAAUUUGAGACCUCAUCUUAGCUUAG
rnacentral:pre_miRNA from 1 species